rnacentral:ncRNA from 1 species
UUGAUAGUGAUGUCAUGGGUGAAGGAAGUGGUGUAACAAAAUCUUCGAGGUUACGAGCAGAAAUCUGAUGAAGUUAAAUGGUGGAUAAGGCUGCAUAAUAAACUAAAGUCCAUAGGGUAAACGUAAAACCAAGACAGUAGAUCAGGAACUUGUUGUGAAGAUAGAAAAAGAU